rnacentral:rRNA from 1 species
GACGAACGCUGGCGGCGUGCCUAAUACAUGCAAGUAGAACGCAGUUGCGAACGGGGGAGUAACGCGUAGGUAACUGCCUCAUCGAGGGGGACAACUAUUGGAAACGCUAGCUAAUACCGCAUAUUGUGAGUUGGACCUGCGUUAUAUUAGCUAGUUGGUGAGGUAAUGGCUCACCAAGGCGACGAUACAUAGCCGACCUGAGAGGGUGGUCGGCCACACUGGGACUGAGACAACGCCCAGAAUCCUGCGGGAGGCAGCAGUAGGGGAUCUUCGGGAAUGGACGGAAGGCUGGCCGGGGAACGCCGCGUGAGUGAAGAAAGUUUUCGGAUCGUAAAGCUCUGUUGUUUGAAAAACGGUAUCUAACCAGAAAGGGACGGCUAACUACGUGCCAGCAGCCGCGGUAAUUC